UACGUAGGGUGCAAGCGUUAAUCGGAAUUACUGGGCGUAAAGCGUGCGCAGGCGGCUUUGCAAGACAGAUGCGAAAUCCCCGGGCUUAACCUGGGAACUGCAUUUGUGACUGCAUGGCUAGAGUGCGGCAGAGGGGGAUGGAAUUCCGCGUGUAGCAGUGAAAUGCGUAGAUAUGCGGAGGAACACCGAUGGCGAAGGCAAUCCCCUGGGCCUGCACUGACGCUCAUGCACGAAAGCGUGGGGAGCAAACAGG
rnacentral:rRNA from 1 species